rnacentral:rRNA from 1 species
UGCUGUUUCAAAGAUUAAGCCAUGCAUGUCUAAGUAUAAGCAUUUAUACAGCGAAACUGCGAAUGGCUCAUUAUAUAAGUUAUCGUUUAUUUGAUAGUACCUUACUACAUGGAUAACCGUGGUAAUUCUAGAGCUAAUACAUGCUAAAAAUCCCAACUUCGGAAGGGAUGUAUUUAUUAGAUUAAAAACCAAUGCCCUCUGGGCUCUCUGGUGAUUCAUGAUAACUCUUCGAAUCGCAUGGCCUUGCGCUGGCGAUGGUUCAUUCAAAUUUCUUCCCUAUCAACUUUCGAUGUUUGGGUAUUGGCCAAACAUGGUUGCAACGGGUAACGGAGGGUUAGGGCUCGACCCCGGAGAAGGAGCCUGAGAAACGGCUACUACAUCCAAGGAAGGCAGCAGGCGCGCAAAUUACCCAAUCCCGACACGGGGAGGUAGUGACAAUAAAUACUGAUACAGGGCUCUUUCGGGUCUUGUAAUUGGAAUGAGUACAAUUUAAAUCCCUUAACGAGGAACAAUUGGAGGGAAGUCUGGGGGCCAGCAGCCAAA